GCCUGGGUGGCUCAGUUGGUUAAGCGGCCGACUUCGGCUCAGGUCAUGAUCUCACAGUUUGUGGGUUCGAGCCCCGCAUCAGGCU
rnacentral:tRNA from 1 species